rnacentral:rRNA from 1 species
CCCUUAGACGUUCUGGGCCGCACGCGCGCUACACUGACCAGUGCAACAAGCAUCCGUCCUUGGCCGACAGGCCCGGGCAAUCUUUGAACGCUGGUCGUGAUGGGGAUAGACUUUUGCAAUUUUUGGUCUUCAACGAGGAAUUCCUAGUAAACGCAAGUCAUCAACUUGCAUUGAUUACGUCCCUGCCCUUUGUACGCACCGCCCGUCGCACCUACCGAUUGAAUGGUCCGGUGAAGCCUCCGGAUUGGCGCGCACCUCGGUGCCGCCGAGAAGUUGGCUAAACCUUACCAUUUAGAGGAAGGUGAAGUCGUAACA